GCUAGUCGGUGUUUUUUCACUGGCGCUGGGGCGGUACUGUUUAUAAAUUACUGUAGCUAGAUAUUACUCAUAGAAUACCUAUAUCGGAAGAUCUGAAGCGUUCAUUCUCGAUCCAAUUGCAGUUAAGGCGUCAAGGCAGAGCACUGCGUUCAUGCUCAAUCCAAUAGCGGUUAAGGGGUAAAGGCAGAGGCACUGUUUACCUAUGCCUAAACAGUUGCUUGGAUGAACAAAGCAGACAGUGUCGGCUCUUCUGUGGCAACUGGCGAGCCGGCAACCGAGGCAGCUCACCGAGGUCGUUGUGGGCUUGUGGCAAACGUGGUGGUCUCGCUCCAAUUCGGUCCCCUGUUGUGCACCCGUGCAGUCACAAGGGAUGCACACCAUGUGCUCGAUGGUUUGGCUCUGAGGAGACAUUUGCUAAAUUAGAAAUAAUGAUGGAAGAUGGUGUCCUUGCAACACUCUUCCUCGUUCUUCCUUGCCAUUUGCCGGACAUGUAACCGUAUAUGCGACAGAGUAGCCGACAAGAGUCCUACUUGAUGAAAGAAGCAAAAGAGAGAGAGAAAUUCAGCUUACUGUGCUUGCGUAAGGUGGCCAUCACCAAAGACAAAUUCGCUUCCGAAACCGCUCGACGUCGUCGUACGGAUCUGUCGCCUAUUCCCAUGUGCGAAGCAGCAGUCAAGACAAGAGACGUAAUGAACUACAAUUAUAGAAGCAUUUUAAUUUGAUGUAAAAUCGUGCUGCUUUUAGAAUUCUUUUGUUCACUACUAAAAAUUAUUUUUUAAGACAUCUAGAUUUUAU